rnacentral:rRNA from 1 species
UACAGAGGGUGCGAGCGUUGUCCGGAUUUACUGGGCGUAAAGCGCGUGUAGGCGGCCCGUUAAGUGGGGUGUGAAAGCCCGGGGCGUCCAACCCCGGGACGCCGCUUCAAACUGGCGGGCUUGAGGACGGAAGAGGGGAGUGGAAUUCCUGGUGUAGCGGUGAAAUGCGUAGAGAUCAGGAGGAACACCCGUGGCGAAGGCGGCUCCCUGGUCCGGUCCCUGACGCUGAGACGCGAAAGCGCGGGGAGCGAACGGG